ACACUUUUGUCCCAUUUCAACAGACCACCCCAGCCAAUCGCGCCAACAACUUGCCGCACGCCGUCGACUUCACAGUGUUGCCAAGUACCAAAUGCAGGGAUCGAAGACGGAGUGCUGAAAGCGGAGGAGGAAGCUUGAGCUCUGAACAUUGUUGAUGUUGUUUGGGUAGUGGAAAGAUGGGAAAUUGAAAAAUUAUGGGAUCUCCUUAAGUAGAGGGCGCCAUAGAAAGGACAUUAGACUCCUUCAGCUUUUAGAUUUUCAAGGAAUCCAAAAAGUUCUUGAUCAGAGAACAUUUUUUUAAUUUUUACUUUUAAUUUCCGACAAGUAUGUGAAAAUCUCUGUAUAUUUCUUUCUUAUUUCCAUUCCAGAAUUCAACUUUUUGAAUGUUAUUUUACUUUUUUCCUUCUGUCUCU